rnacentral:rRNA from 1 species
GUUUCGGCAAGGGGGAUCAUCCCGACUUACCAACCCGAUGCAAACUGCGAAUACCGGAGAAUGUUAUCACGGGAGACACACGGCGGGUGCUAACGUCCGUCGUGAAGAGGGAAACAACCCAGACCGCCAGCUAAGGUCCCAAAGUCAUGGUUAAGUGGGAAACGAUGUGGGAAGGCCCAGACAGCCAGGAUGUUGGCUUAGAAGCAGCCAUCAUUUAAAGAAAGCGUAAUAGCUCACUGGUCGAGUCGGCCUGCGCGGAAGAUGUAACGGGGCUAAACCAUGCACCGAAGCUGCGGCAGCGACACUAUGUGUUGUUGGGUAGGGGAGCGUUCUGUAAGCCUGUGAAGGUGUACUGUGAGGUAUGCUGGAGGUAUCAGAAGUGCGAAUGCUGACAUAAGUAACGAUAAAGCGGGUGAAAAGCCCGCUCGCCGGAAGACCAAGGGUUCCUGUCCAACGUUAAUCGGGGCAGGGUGAGUCGACCCCUAGGCGAGGCCGAAAGGCGUAGUCGAUGGGAAACAGGUUAAUAUUCCUGUACUUGGUGUUACUGCGAAGGGGGGACGGAGAAGGCUAUGUUGGCCGGGCGACGGUUGUCCCGGUUUAAGCGUGUAGGCUGGUUUUCCAGGCAAAUCCGGAAAAUCAAGGCUGAGGCGUGAUGACGAGGCACUACGGUGCUGAAGCAACAAAUGCCCUGCUUCCAGGAAAAGCCUCUAAGCAUCAGGUAACAUCAAAUCGUACCCCAAA